GAAGGGGUAUGAUUUAAAACCGCCUUCAUUGUUACCCUAAGCAUUACAGGAGGAGGGGAAAACCUAGGCAAGAAAUAUAAAAACAACAUUUGAGAAGGGGGAGUGGUAAGGAAAAACCUGCAGCUUUUGGAGAAGACAGCCUGUGCAUAGCACAUGGAGGGCCAAGAUUUCAGGGGUUUUCAGAAAGUAAAAAAAUAUUUUUUACUUAAUCCUUUGUUUAUAUACCUAAGUUGGAAAUUAAGCCGAAAAGCAGGAGAUGAAACCUCCAAGAACAUAUGUAAAAUAUCAGCGUGGGUUGGCCUCACCAAAACAAGCUCACUGCUUUGAAGACACCCUUAUACCAGCCCUUUAUUAUGUCAUCAGGGAAAACUGUAUCAAGGGGGAGCAGUAUGGGACAGAUAUACAUUCUUUUAAUGUUAGUUGAAUUUUUCAGAGUAAAAUACAACUAAAAAGUCACAGCAAUGGAGAAAGUGCUGCCUCGUUUUAAAACUGCACGUGUGCUUUGCCCCUUGAGAACACCUUUGGUUAGACUUUUUGUUCAAUACACCAUUUCAUUAAAUAUGAUUCAAUUCCCCGUCUCAAUUCCCAGUCUGAGGCCUUAACUGACAUACUCAAUAACUUAUAAUUCUUAUAAGUUAGAGUCAACUAUAAGUCCUCCCUCUGGUUUCUCUUCUGUGCUUUGUAAAUAUGUACAUCCUUUUCAGGAUCAUAGUGAACCUUACUCACAGUAAAUUGCCUCUCCAGCAUCGCUAAGAAGCUGUUGUCCCGUUCAUAGCGAAUUCGGCAAGCUAAAAGAAUCACGGAGCGGUUGCUACUGAGAUGUUCCAAAGUUUGAAGAAGAUCUGCGAAUGUUUCUUCUAAAUAUAUGAUAUCAGCUCCAAGUAUCAAGUCAAAUUCUCCAGUCACAUGAGCACCUAGAAUGUGGGACAGAGAAAGAGUCAUGUGCACAACAAUACAACUAACAGUUGUUUACCAUGGACCAAUAUGGCGAGAGAAGACUGAACCGAGUUAUCCUUAAGGUGAAGCAACCACGCAAGGUCAGCCCGGAAAUACCUCAUCUGCAUUGCAGUACCAAUGGGAAAGAACAAGUCUGUAUGCUGUUGGGAAUGGUCAGGUAGGAAGAGGGAAGAAGAGAGACAACACAGGAGAGGGAAGGUGGACCGCAGUGUCACUGAGGAGGUGACAGGGGGUUGGCCUGUGCAGGGCAGACGCCAACGUGCGUGACAGAGCCCGCAGACCCAGCCCCAGGGAGAUGGGAGGUUACAGAAGUCCUCUUCCGGCUGCGUCAAUCUCCUCAGAGAAACAAGAAGCGUCACCAGCUGGGAGCAGGUUAGCAGAGAGGAGAGGAAGCAGAGUGGCCGCUCAAUGGCAUCGACUGCCCCUCACGUGACGAUGGACGACGUGAGGCAAGACGGAGCAGCAGCCGCACUGGGGGCACCGGGCAACUCGGGCCUGGAGCCCCAGCCUCCGCCGGGCGCACAGCCUCAUGGGGAGAAGCGAGGGCGGCAGAGAGCCCAGGGCCCAGGAAACGACCCCCCGGGAGGCCCGCGCUGCAACACGUAGUUGGUGACAGACUCAUGGGAGCUGACCCCACACGACAUGUCCCGCCGCCACUCAAUGGGUCACAGGAAAAGACACGUAACACCUACCAUCACUUUCGUUUGUACUUCUGUGAGCAACACCUGACAUCAUUCGAACGUGUGAGCGCAGGCUACAUACCGGAGACGCAGAGAUGAGCAAACCAUCCCUGGCUGCCAGGAGCUCGGUCUCAUGAGGUCUCACGAGGGACAGAGACACAGAAACACAAACACAACUGUGAUGCAACGAGAACGUGCAGAGUAAGCUAUGGAGACCUGGGUUGCCAGGAAAUGACGUGGACCCAAAGGACACUCUUUGAGAGGGGCAGAGGUCAGAGAAAGAAUUCAGAAGGAAGGGAAAUCUGAGCUUACACUGGGAAGAUGUGGCAUCAAGCAGGGGAAGGGGGUGAGGAAGGGCCAUCGGGGCAGAAGGGACAGGCCAGAAGUCGCGGGUGAGUCCCUGGAACCGCAAACUGCGGCCGCUCUGACACAGGAGCCUGAAGAGCCAGGCAAGAGGGGGUCAGAGCCUCAGAGUCUUAAGAGUCUUAGGCGUGGCGAGGCACAGGGUUUUUUCUUUUUUUUAAAGUAGACUCCAUACCCACUGUAGGGCUUGAACAAAUGACCCUGAGAUCAAGAGUCACAUGCUCCACCCGCUGAGCCAGCCAGGCCACCCCCCCCCCCAGGCACGGGGUGUUUAAGUCCAGGCCACCCCAGCACUUCUGCACGGAGGACGGCCCGCUCUGGCCAACGGGGUCUACCCAGACUAGGUCUGAGAACACAAAGCAGAGGCAGAGAGGUCAGGCGGUGGGAUGCACGUACUUGCAUCCAUGAUGAGGGAAGAGACAGAUGCUGAGAGCUGGUGGGGAGGGGUAUGCAAAGGGAGAAAUGCAAUAAGAAAUCCUUAGGAGAAGGUCAACAGGGCUCAGGGAGGGAGCUGGGGCUGGGGGGCAGGUCAAGCAGCUGGCUUGAGUGAGGACUCGGAUGGCCACACUCACUCACAAAAAAGAAGGAUGAGUUUGCAGAGGUAAGAAGAGUUCAAGUGUAAACACAUGUACUGUUUGAGGUGCUGAGAAAUCGGCAGGUAGAGACACUCAGCCUUCAGUUAAACAUACAAGUGAAAAGCUUGGUACAGACAAAGUACAGAAAACUAAGACGGCUCUUUCCUGAUCCGAGCGUUAUAGUUUAAGGCUGUUCCCCAGACUUGGUUGGCAUCAAAUGACCUCGGAAGCUUUUAAAAUCCAGAUUCCCUGACCCCACCCCAACUUCUAGAACCCUAUCUUUAAAAUGAGAUACUUUUUUCUAAGAAUAAUUUCCACACAGUAUGAAGAGAUUUUCAAACUAAGAACCAGAGCUUGAGAGUCAGACUGGAUUCCAACUCUAACUCCACAUCCAUGAGCUUUGUGACCUCAGGCAAGUUACCUAACCUCUAUUAAGCCUUCAUUUCACCAUUGAAGACAGCUCCAAGUGGACUUACCAACCACACAGAGGAACAGUGAGGACAGACUAAAGACCCAGGAAGUGGGAACUGCCCAGUAAUAAACAGGUGUUAUUUUCUUUUAACAUCUCAUCACCCAUUAUUAAGGUUCUAUAGAGAACUCCCUGGUUUUUUUUUUUUUCCCAUCUUUUCCUCCCUCCCCCCUCAGAAUUAGAAUGGAAGCUUCCUGAGGAGGCAGGUAUGCACAGCACCUAAAACCAGACCAGAUAUAUGGUGGGUGUUCCCUGAAUUCGGGAAUAAAUGACUCAGGUUACAAAAAGUGAAAAUGCUGUAAAAAGAGAACGAUCAACCUCUGACAUUUCAAGAUCACUACCUAUUCUAGUUCUCACUGCCUUCUUCCUAAAGAGACUAACUUUUCCUUUACCCUCAGAUUUCAACCUCAAAACUAAUGCCUAAUACUUUGCAAACACAACAAAUAACAGGUAUGCAAAUCACAUAGCAGCACAGAGGUACACACGUAACUUGCAUGUAUGUACAUACAUAUACAUAUGAGUACACGUACAUAUACACACGCCUCUAUAACCAUGAUCACAACUAUGAUUAA